CGGCUUAUUCUGCCACACUGAUAAGAAAAUAAACAUUAAUUUACCGAAUUAGCAGCGUCCUUUCAGUGUCUGAUGGCAGAAUCAGCCGAAGUUCCACGGUGACACGGCUUCACUUCAGCCGUGGUCGGAGCUGGCGUCAGGACAGAAGCCUGUGUGCGGAUACGACUCCCCACCCUGAAAAGGAAGCCCCGCCCAGAGCAAACUGAUUUGCAUUUUUCUAUUUCAUGGUGUCAGGCCAUUAUGAAAUAACCACCAAGAAAUAAAAUGCAAAUCAGUUUGCUUUCACUUGGUGGACUGAGCUGUCAAUCAAAUGGCUCUAGGCGGGGCUUCCUCGUCGUUCCUCAUCACAGGCAUAUGAAGAGUAGAUACGACACGCCCAUCUGAGCGGCGUCCCGACGGAGACGCUAAGCUCGCGGGGGCAAAGUUUCAGUGUUUUCCAUUGAUGUGUACGGCACGAAAAUUAAAACAAGAAGAAUGCCGGCUCAUUGUGCGGCAUACAGUUGCACACUACAUCGGACGAUCAAGACAAGGAAACUUGGAAUAACUUUCCACAGGUUUCCCAAAGACUAUGGAUUGAGGAAGAAGUGGAAGCAGCUCUGAGGAGAGAGGGGUUUGCUGCAAAUAUAUAACAGCCUAGAGAGAGAGAUAAAUAAAUAAUAAUUAUUAUUAAUAAUAAUUCUGUUGUUUAUUGUAAUUGUGGUUGUCUUUACGUUGCAUUUAUUGAGAUAAUUUGUCCUUGUUCCUUAUUACUGUAGCAUUGCUGUAACUACCUAUAAUUAUAAAUUUCUAUUCAUAUUUUCACUGUGACUUUUAUAUACGGCGAAUCGUGAUCCAUGCAGGAGUGGAUGGAUUUAGCAGGCUCAUAGUUUACAUAGGAGCAGCUGCAAACAACAAAUCCACCACUGUUCAGGUCAGCUGUUGCUCAGUAUGGCUUACCAUCUCGUAUGUUGUGUGAGAGUCCAAAUAAUGCUACCAAAACACAUAAAAUGUUAAAACAGAUAUGUGUAGUUGUUUUGACAAUUGUUCUGAUGUGAUGUAAGCUUGUGAGGCUAAUACAUGCUUCAGAAGAAGGUUCACAACAGUUCUUGUUUUUGCUGCUGUCAGGCUCAAAUUGUUGUGUGUGACAUUUAACAUGUAGCAGAAAUGUGGCGGCCUGUGAGUUGUUGUAAGAAGACAGUUUAAAGGUGAGAGUUGAGAGAGUGAAUUAAUGAAAUAGCUUAUUUUUAUGUGAAAGAUUCAAAAAUGAUGGUUCAGGUUUGUGCAUUUCUGCGACAACAAAAUGUUUCCACACUUGUGGAAGACUGUCUUUGGAGAACAGUUGUAAUAUAAAUGUUUGGAAGUUAAAGAAAAGAAUUGUCAGUUCUAUUAAAAAAAACCUUUUUAUUGGCACAUUGUUUUGAUGCUUUUAAAAGCUGUCAAACUAUUCAGCAUGCAAUAAAAGCAGUUUUAUAUCCCUU